CAGCCAAUCCCAAGGCAGCGGCAGCCCUGGACUGCUGGAGCGAAGGGAAUGGAAGGCUGGCCGGAAGAGGCUCCAGGUCCUCCUGGCCUCCCUGGCCGGGGACACGGGGCAGGCAAGAGAGGCUCCAAGGGAAGGCCGGACAUCCUAAAACCCUGGCCAGCCUUCCGAGUGCAGGAGAGAUGGCCACGGGUGCCAGCCUCUGCCAGAGCCGCCAAAGGGAACAAAGGCCUGGCAGCUCAACGUGAGAGGCUGGGAGAGCGGGGGAACCAGGAGGGUCUGUCAGGGGCCCCCGCCAAGGGAAAGCAGAAAGCAGGGCACAGGACAGGUCCAGAGCCCAGCACCAAGUGUCAUUGAACAGACAGGAGGGCGUGUCCACGAUGAUCCCAGCCAUAUGACCUGGGCACCGACAGCAAGGUCCACUCUGCCUUGAACCCUUCUCCCUCUGCAGAGCCGGCAGUAGGGGACUCUCUGGCUUCCCCACAGUCGGCACGGGCCUUGUAGGCCCCUCUGCUGACCCUGUCUUCCUUUCCCCAUCUGCUGGGGCCCAUCUCCCUCACCAGGAGCCCCUUCGCAGGGCUCCUGCCUCUACCUGGCAACCCACCCCUCAUCCUCCACUUGGGCAGCUCGGGGGCU